GCCCUGUGAAGACGGCCUGUUCCAUCCUUCAUCACCCUCGUUACAUCGCCGGUUUGUGCGUCCCCUAAGAACCAUCAUGUGGGUAUCACCUGGGCUGCCACCGUCCACUAGUCACGUCUGCCUGUCCCUGUGCUUAAAGCACUCAUCGUACUUCGCAGAAGAUUCGCUCACACGAUGCUGAAACUGAAGCUCCAAUACUUUGACCACCUGAUGCCAGGAGCCAACUCAUUGGAAAAGACUCUGAUGCUGGGAAAAAUUGAAGGUGGAAGAAGGGGGUGACAGAGGAUGAGAUGGUUGGAUGGCACCACCUACUCGAUGGACAUGAGUGAG
ensembl:lncRNA